UGGAAAGCAUCAAAGUCUAAGCUCACAGGCAAAAGUCAGUCAAGUGUUGAGAGCUCUAAUAAUGUAGGGGGGGAGUGGAGGGUGAGGGGGGAAUGUCAGUUGCACCUUCAGCAUGAGAAGAAAAGAGGAAAGACUGAAAAUAAUAAGCAAAUGAUUUGUAAGGUGAUGAGGAACACAAAAGCUGUAAAAGGUGGCAUCUCCAACCAGGAAGGUGGCAACAAGGAGAGUUUCAGCGCCGAGGGGUUUUACUUUCCUUUGUUGUCAAGACUAAGCUGUUAUCAGCCUGUGGUGUUAUCACCUAGAAGAUGUUUCUCGUAAGCCUCAUGAUAACCAGCAAGUAGAAAUCUAUAGCUGAAAGAAACAGGGGGAAAAAAGCAAGG
rnacentral:lncRNA from 1 species